rnacentral:rRNA from 1 species
GACGAACGCUGGCGGCGUGCUUAACACAUGCAAGUCGUACGGUAAGGCCCUUUCGGGGGUACUCGAGUGGCGAACGGGGGAGUAACACGUGCGUAACCUGCCCACAACUUUGGGAUAACGCUAGGAAACUGGUGCUAAUACUGGAUAUGUGCUCCUGCUGCAUGGUGGGGGUUGGAAAGCUCCGGCGGUUGUGGAUGGACUGGCGGCCUAUCAGCUUGUUGGUGGGGUAGUGGCCUACCAAGGCGGCGGCGGGUAGCCGGCCUGAGAGGGUGACCGGCCACAUUGGGACUGAGAGACGGCCCAGGCACCUACGGGGGGCAGCAGUGGGGAAUAUUGCACAAUGGGCGCAAGCCUGAUGCAGCAACGCCGCGUGCGGGAUGACGGCCUUCGGGUUGUAAACCGCUUUCAGCAGGGACGGAGCUUUUUGUGACGGUACCUGCAGAAGAAGCACCGGCUAACUACGUG